GCGUGCUUGGUGGAACUGGUAGACACGAGCGACUUAAAAUCGCUUUCCUCACGGAGUGCGGGUUCAACUCCCGCAGCGCGCA
rnacentral:tRNA from 1 species